GGCUAGGUAGCUCAAUAGGUAGAGCACCUGGUAUAUAUAGAUUCAGGAGGCCUAGGUUCAAACCCAAGCCUGGUCA